ACCUUUACUCUAUAAAUUCAUAUCUAACAAGUGCUCUAUCAUCAAACCCACCAAUUACUAGCUCAAUAACAUCAAUUAAGAGGUAGAUAACCAUAAUCAAGGCUGAAAAUAUAAACCCCAGUUAAACAUCCUAACAUACCAUUGAACCCAUGAAAUUUUCCCCAUAAAUCCAUCAAAACUAUAACUUUAAGCUUCUAGUUCACACAUAUAAGAAGUAGAGGGAAGUUUCUUACCAAAUUCACCUUAAUUCCUAUAUCAAGAAGCUGCCAAGACCUUCCUCUUCCCAAAUCACUCCACCAAAACCCCUAAACUUCCUUGGAGAUCAACUUUUGUGGAGGAAUUUGCGAGAUUAUCGGUUGAAACUCAAGAUUGAGGCUUGAAAUUGAGGUGCAAGGUGAAGUUUUUUCAUCUCUUGUUUUUCCUCUCAAGAAU
rnacentral:lncRNA from 1 species